CUGGAGCUUACACAUACAUUAAUGAGAGUUUUCUUGCCUGUGGAAUUAAGUGAUGCACUCAGAAACACUACACAUUGUUGCUGUGAAGCUCUGUAACACCCCGAUUCCUACCUCACAUUAUUGGCAGGUAUUUUGUUCUGCCAUACACUAUUAUAAAUGUUAUUGCCACAGAGGUCAGUAAUACAUUCAUACACGCCAGGGUUUAUUUGCCUUCUCUUAACCUUUCCAUUGCUUGCCUUUCUCUUCCCUAACUCUUCCAUUCUUUUCCAUUGCUUUCCUUACCCCUCUUUCUUUUUCCAUUGCUUUCCUUAACUCUCCCCUUCUUUUUCCAUUGCUUUCCGUAACUCUCCC